AUUUUUCUUCGUACUAGUUAUUUUAGGGAUAAUCGACCCUCCCUAGAGCAAGUGGUAAAAAAUUUGAUGGUUGAUAUUCGAGAUCCAAAUUCGAAUCCUAGUUGAUUCACAUUUUCGGCUAAGUUUAUUUUAAAUGAAAUAAACGAAGCAGGUGGCGUGUUACCUAUCUCUAAAAAAAAAAAAAAAAAAUUAUUUUAGGGAUAGAAUUAAAUUCAGAAUUGAGGUGAAAUUAGAAUAAUUUUGUGUUUAGUUGAGAAUUCAAUUUAGUCUAGAUAUAAGAUAAAAUAGUGUUUGGUCAAAAUAAGCGGAAUAAAAACAAUAGUUGAUAGUUAUAAAUAAAAAAUAAUAAUAUUGUCCCAAUUAUUAUAUUUAAAUUUAAAUUUAAAUUUUAAAUAAUUAAAAAUAAUAAUUUAAAAUUUAAAUAUAUAUAUAUAUAUAUAUAUAUUUUUAAAUCUCAAAUUUAAAAAUUUAAAGUUACAAAUAUAAAAUAUCAAAUUUAAAAUUUAAAUAAUUACAAAUAAUAAUUUUUAAUUUUUAAUUUUAAAUUUUAAAUUUUAAAAAAUAAAUAUUAAUUUUAAAAUUUAAAAUUAUAAAUUUUUUAAAAUUUUAAUUUAAAAAGUAAAAUUUAUAUUUAUAUUUAAAAAUAAAAUAUGGGUGGGAUUAACUUAAU
rnacentral:lncRNA from 1 species